GGCGAAACGGUGAGUUAAGCGCUUCACCAGCGGCCGGGCGACCGGCCGGCUUGGCAACCCCGGCUGGGAGCAAGACCAAGCAGAGGCAAGGGCUGCUCGGCCCCGCUUGAGCCUCGGGUAGGUUGCUGGAGACGGCGAGCAAUCGCCGCCCUAGAUAGAUGACUGCCGCCCUGGAGAGGGAACAGAACCCGGCUUACAGGCCAUCUUCCUCC
rnacentral:RNase_P_RNA from 1 species